ensembl:lncRNA
AAAGAAACAGAGGCUAUUUCCCUCAUUAGAAUCAGUGUACUACCAGAAUGAUUUUAAAACUGACAUAUCAAGGAAAAAAAACUUAUACAGUUGGUUUAGCAGUAUUUUAAUGUAAAAUUAUAUAAAUGCCCCAUUAGACAUUUUACACUGUAGGCUAUCGAGUAAGAGAACUUGCCAUUAACCAAUUUUUAUCUUCACAUUUCUGCAGUCUUUUUCCAUUAAAAUGGCAAUCAUUUUUCACAAUGUGGUAUGGAACUGGAAGCAAUCAGUCCCAGCUUAUAGCCUACUCUUGCUGGAAGCUGCCCAGUGGUGGAACGGAGCUUCUUUGUGCUCUUUGAAAUACCCUGCUUUAAAGAGCUGCAAUAAUACAUGACAUCACAGAGCAAGAGGAAAGGUGCAAGUGUGUCGAUGCUGAGAGAGAGAGAGCACUCUUUGUUCAUUGUGAAGUCAUCCGCGGCGCUUAACACAGACUUGAAGGCCAAGGCUGUGGUGCUGUCCGUGAGCACUUUCAUUCACGGCGUUCGUUGCUUUGGAGAUGAUGAAUGAGGUUUACGCUUGGACUAAUAUCUUGACUUUACAGUGUCAGAAGUGUUUUAGGCAGGGGCAGGUGGCCUGGCGUGCCGCUCUGGUCAGCCUCUGGCCAGGCCUUUCUGCAGCUCUGAUGGAUGAGGUGGUGGAUCAGCGGCUCUGCUGAAGUGCUCUGGCACCAGUUUCUCUCCAAACAUGCAGAUGCGAUUUGCCUGACACUGUGUUUUCUUAGAAGGUGCGGCACGAUGGGGUGUAUCGUAGAGAAGGCAGCCACAACUGCUGGCUCGUGUUUCCUGAAAUUUUUAAUGAGACAGGCUACUUCAGAACAUUCUAGGACUUAAUUGCCGACACUAAAGUGCCCUUUCGCUCCGGUCUAUAUGCCCCUGGACCGCGAUUUCUACCCUGCUGGACCGCAAUUGUGCCCUAGCAACAUUGCUUAGCCCCUGCCCCUCUGGAGGUCUGUGCACACCACUGUCCACAGGUCUAUCCAAAUUAAUUCUAGCUUAUUUAAGUCAGCCUUUUAUGUUCUUCUAGGUCAAGAGUGGUG